rnacentral:rRNA from 1 species
UACGACUACAUAUCAGGCAUAUCAAUAAGCGGAGGAAAAGAAACUAACAAGGAUUCCCUUAGUAACGGCGAGUGAAGCGGGAAGAGCUCAAAUUUGAAAUCUUCAAGGGUUCUACCUUGACGAAUUGUAGUUUAAAGAAGUGUUUUCUGUUAGGAGUUAGGUCAAAAGUUCCUUGGAAUAGGGACAUCAUAGAGGGUGAGAAUCCCGUAUUUGACGUUAUUCAUUCUAGCUGUGUGGAUACACUUUCAAAGAGUCGGAUUGUUUGGGAAUGCAGUCCAAGAUGGGUGGUAAAUUUCAUCUAAAGCUAAAUAUUGGCGAGAGACCGAUAGCGAACAAGUACCGUGAGGGAAAGAUGAAAGAACUUUGAAAAGAGAGUUAAACAGUACGUGAAAUUGUCAAAAGGGAAGCGUUUGACACCAGUGUUGUUUUUCCGAAAAUCAAUUACGAAUGGCUUGAUUUUGUGUUGUAUUGACCUUAUCAGCUUUCUUCACUUUUUUCGAGUCUUUCUUAAUGCACUUUUCGGUUAACAAGUCAACAUCAAUUUCUUUUGUUGUAAAAGAGUAUUCGGAAGGUGGCUUUCUUUUCGGAGAAAGUGUUUAUAGCCCUAUACUUCUACAAUCGGAGAGAUUGAGGUCUGCAGCGUAGAUCCUUCGGGGUUAGAUACACUUUGUGCUAAGUUGUAGCUUUUCAUAGACAACUUGUUGACUAUGUUUAGUCUUGCGGCUUACUCGCUUGUGCUAUUUUACCUACGCUUAGGAUGUUGAGUAGCGACAUACGCAC